rnacentral:rRNA from 1 species
UGGGGAAUAUUGGACAAUGGGCGCAAGCCUGAUCCAGCAAUGCCGCGUGUGUGAAGAAGGCCUUCGGGUUGUAAAGCACUUUUAUCAGGAGCGAAACGCUGUCGGCUAAUACCCGGCGGAACUGACGGUACCUGAGGAAUAAGCACCGGCUAACUUCGUGCCAGCAGCCGCGGUAAUACGAAGGGUGCAAGCGUUAAUCGGAAUUACUGGGCGUAAAGCGUGCGUAGGCGGUUUCCUUAAGUCUGCUGUGAAAUCCCCGGGCUCAACCUGGGAAUGGCAGUGGAUACUGGGAGGCUAGAGUGUGUCAGAGGGUGGUGGAAUUCCCGGUGUAGCGGUGAAAUGCGUAGAGAUCGGGAGGAACAUCAGUGGCGAAGGCGGCCACCUGGGACAACACUGACGCUGAGGCACGAAAGCGUGGGGAGCAAACAGGAUUAGAUACCCUGGUAGUCCACGCCCUAAAGCGAUGCGAACUGGAUGUUGGUCUCAACUCGGAGAUCAGUGUCGAAGCUAACGCGUUAAGUUCGCCGCCUGGGGGAGUACGGUCGCAAGACUGAAACUAAAGGAAUUGACGGGGUCAUAGCUGUUUCCU